CAUAACCCAACUUUGAAUGGCAUUUCAGGAAUUACAAUUACUAUAGGCACUGUUAUUGGCAUUCAAUUGAAUUACUGAACAAAACCGCAUAUUAUGAGUUAUGGAACGAUAUUUACAGUUACAGGUGGUAACCAAAGAUAAGCAAAAUACUAUUUUUAAUUUUAUCUCAAGACGAAUGUAUGCGAGUGUCAGCGACCUAACGAAGUACAAAUAGGGAUCGCGGAUUCGGGAUGGCAGCACAAAGCAACGAAUAUUUAAAAAAUACUACUUAGUUCACUUUUCUUACACCAUGGCGUGCAAACGCACCCAUAAACGAAGAUUUUCUUGUUUUCGCAAACUGUAUUGAAAAGAUAGGAAGACUCAUUGUCCAGUGUAACGCGUCCUCUUACAAAUAAAAACAAAUUCGGCGAAAAAAAUCGAUUAUUAUAAGGCCAGUAACGCACUAGGCAGCCAUAAAACUGCGGGGGCUAAUCCCACACACUAUUGUUUAUUCGAGCCCGCCUAGACAGCUGAAAAUCGUGUGUGGCUGCCGCAGUGAGGCUGCCUAGUGCGCUACUGGCCUUAUUCUGCACGCUGACCAAUUAAAUUGGAAUCAACCAUUAUAACUCAUAAGGCAUAACAUAACACAGGUGAAGAAGUAUAAUAAUCAAGUUUUGACCGUAUGAAUGUCGCCCCAACUUUUCAUGGACUACUUGAUUUCGUUGAGAAACUUGAGUUACCUCAAAACCGGCGGUGACCUUCAGUUGCGUUUUACCAUAUUGUUUUCAAUUAUGUUGUUCAAUCUUUUAUAUUGAAAUAUAAUAUAAAUAUACAGGGUAAGUAAACGUUGUGAAGCACGUUUUUAAAUAAUUGG